AAGGGUAGAUCUCAGUGGCAGAGCACAUGCUUAGCAGGCAUGAGGUCCUCGGUUCAAUCCCUAGUACCUCCA
rnacentral:tRNA from 1 species